AGUGACGAUAGCCUAGGAGAUACACCUGUACCCAUGCCGAACACAGAAGUUAAGCCCUAGAACGCCGGAAGUAGUUGGGGGUUGCCCCCUGUGAGAUAGGGAAGUCACUUAGCU
rnacentral:rRNA from 1 species